ACACAAAUGCGUUUUAGGAGCUACCAUGGUCACGAAGAUGGUUUUCCCAGGGUGCAGCUUAUCCAUUGCACUCUGGAAGUGCCGACCCAGUGAUUUCCCCAAGUUCGGGAAACUUGACUACAUAAUAGUCAAUAGUGGGGGACUGCGUUCAAGCUUUCCCAUU